rfam:Salpingoeca sp. ATCC 50818 unplaced genomic scaffold supercont1.10, whole genome shotgun sequence.
GGGCCCUUAGCUCAGUGGUAGAGUGGAGGACUUAAAAUCCUUUGGUCGCGGGUUCGAUCCCCGCAGGGUCCA